GGAGGAGUGGCCGAGUGGCUGAAGGCAGUGGUCUUGAAAACCACCAAUAGUAAACUAUUCGAGAGUUCGAAUCUCUCCUCCUCCG
rnacentral:tRNA from 1 species